rnacentral:rRNA from 3 species
CUUGGGCGAGAGUAGUACUAGGAUGGGUGACCUCCUGGGAAGUCCUCGUGUUGCACCCC